UUACGGCCACAUCACGUUGAAACACCUGUUCCCGUACAAUCACCAAAGUUAAGCAAUGUCGAGCCUGAUCAGUACCUAGACGGGUGACUGCUUGGAAACACCGGGGGCUGUU